GCAUGGCUGUCGUCAGCUCGUGUUGUGAAAUGUUGGGUUAAGUCCCGCAACGAGCGCAACCCUUAUCCUUUGUUGCCAGCGGUCCGGCCGGGAACUCAAAGGAGACUGCCAGUGAUAAACUGGAGGAAGGUGGGGAUGACGUCAAGUCAUCAUGGCCCUUACGACCAGGGCUACACACGUGCUACAAUGGCGCAUACAAAGAGAAGCGACCUCGCGAGAGCAAGCGGACCUCAUAAAGUGCGUCGUAGUCCGGAUUGGAGUCUGCAACUCGACUCCAUGAAGUCGGAAUCGCUAGUAAUCGUGGAUCAGAAUGCCACGGUGAAUACGUUCCCGGGCCUUGUACACACCGCCCGUCACACCAUGGGAGUGGGUUGCAAAAGAAGUAGGUAGCUUAACCUUCGGGAGGGCGCUUACCACUUUGUGAUUCAUGACUGGGGUGAAGUCGUAACAAGGUAACCGUAGGGGAACCUGCGGUUGGAUCACCUCCUUACCUUAAAGAAGC
rnacentral:rRNA from 1 species